GCCCUUGCUGUCCCUGGACUAUGUGUCUCCCUCUUCCUGGGCUACCCUCCUGAUUACUGAUGCUUCUCAUAUGUCUCUGGCAUCAAGGGAACUAUUACAUGCCCUGAGAUACAGAAGUGCACAAGACCAACAAGAUCCAUGAGCUUACAUUUGAAGGCAGAGAAAGCUGGAAAAUCUGAUGAAAUCAACACCAGGAGGAAGGAGAAGGCCUGUUGCUGCAGUUCCAGCUGUUCCCCUGUGUUCCCUGAGCCAUAAAACCAAUCUCUCCCCUGGGAGAAACCAGCCACCAUGUUGUAAGCAGCCCUGUGGCAAGGCCCACAUGAGGAAGACCAGGGCUUACCAACAUCCUCUGAAUGCACGUGGAAACAGAUCUCUGUCCCUCCCCUCAAGGCCCAACUGUGCAUCCAAAUGAGAUCACAGCCUUUGCUGACAGCUUGACAGUCUCCUCAUGAGCCAGAGAAAUCAGCUAGGUGACUCUCAGAUUUCAGACUCACAGAAACUGUGAGAUAAUAAAUGCUUAUUGCUUUAAAUGCUAAAUUUUGGGGGUUAUUGAUUAUGCAACAAUAGAUAACUAAGAUAGAUGAAGAGUGCAAUGGAAAUGAUAAAUUCUAGAAUGGGCCCUAGGUCACUGUAAACAGGGAACCACAGUGAUAUAAUCCCAAGACUCCAGUGUGGCACGAGGCUGAGAGCAUACUAGGGUUUAUCCAACUUCUUGGUAUUGAACUUCUUUUCAUUUCACUAGACUGAGGCUAUAUUGGGAUUUGCUAUGGAGAGAAUGUGUCUUCUAAGUUUCAUGUGUUGGAAACAUUCCCCAAAUUUAUAUAUUAAUGAUAUUUGGAGGUAGGACCUUUAAGAGAUAAUUAGGAUUAGAUAAGGUCAUAAAAUUGGGGUCUCCAUGAUGAGACUCAAGUCUUUAUAAAAAGAGGAGGAAGGAACUGAGCUGACAUGCUCUUGCCCUCUCGCCAUGUGGUACCUUCUGCCAUGUUAUGACAUAUGAAGAAGGCCUUCAUCAGAUGCGGUUCCUUGAUCCUGGACUUCCCAGCCUCCAGACUGUAAGAGAUAAACUUGUUUUCUUUAUA